GGGGGCGAACUGGGUUCGACCGGAUAGCCUGAAGUGAAAGUGGCGUGCCGUGGUUGGUCAGUUGGCCACGUUAAAAGCUGACCGCAUAUUUUAUUUGCCGAAGGUAACUUCGCACUGGCCGCCUAGAGAUAGGCGUCCCCGGCUGAUGGCUUUCGUCGGAGAGGCCUGAAAGCUGGUCACCAAUUCCGAAUCGCCUGAAGUCACUGCCGGACACGCUUCAGGCUAAAUUAGUUUCUGGCGAGCGCGGGUGGCAUCCUGUCGAUUGGAGUCCACGCGAGCGAGAAUUAAAUAAUCGACUACGCGCGUAGAAGCUUUCAUGAAAAUGUCGCGGGACGCGGGUUCGAUUCCCGCCGCCUCCACUG
rnacentral:tmRNA from 1 species